UAAAUAAAGACAUGAAUAAAGUCUUGUAGGCUCAAUAUACCAGCUACCCAAUGACUAAAAAAAAGGACUAGAAUAGCACUACCCCAGAAGAACACUCUAAGCCUACUAAUUGGAUAUAUGAGCAUGAAGAAAGCAUAUGGUUUAAAAUGAGAGGACUGAAAAUAUUGAUGUCAUUUCAACUUA